rnacentral:lncRNA from 1 species
ACAAGUGUAAAGCAUUUAAAUAUUUGAAAACUGCAAUUUUAUCAUCACUCUCAACUCUCUUCUUCUAUUCAAUAGUUUACAAAAAUAUGCACCUAUAAUAUUUCACCAAAAAAAGAAAAAAAAAAAAAAAAAACCUCUCUAAUAUUCCACAUCCUCUAUAGAAAGUUUGGUGUCCUCUGCAAUAAUCUUCUGAAGGACGACUGCAAGAUACAAUAUCUCAGUUGAAUUCAGCAGUAACUUUCUGAAUCUUGCCCAGCAAAUCACAAGUGAAAUGAUAUUGUUAACAUACCUGAAGAUGAUUUCCAUCAACCUUUGUCCCCAGCCCCAGGAGACUUUUUGUCCGUAGGAGUUGGUAAAACAUGUUAUUGCUCCAAUGUAGUGCACUCUUUGUGUUGAAUAUAAUGUAUGUAUAGUAUACUAUCUUUCCUUGUUAAUAUAGGUCACAUGUAUGGUAGUUAGGACUCCUAGCCUUGUAUAUAUAUAUCUCUCAAUUGUAAGUAGACAUUACAUGAAUGUGAAUAAGGUUUUUCUCCUCUCUCUCUCUCUCUCUCUCAACAUGGUAUCAGAGCCAAAGGAGAAAACCUAAUUUUUUUUCGGUUUAGCCGUGUACUCAAUUCCGGCGAACCGUCCAGUGACCGUGUUUCACUCCGGUCCCCUCAUUCUCUUCCCGAACCACCCCGGACAACCUCAUCGCCGUCGGAUCUCCACCACGCCGGCAACCUUUUCCGGCGACCUCUUUUCCGGGCAACGACCACAUAUUCCGAAACGCCGGAGGCUGAUCUACACUCCAGUGGAAACCCCACCGGCAACCGGAAUCUCACGCGCCCCCACGCGCCGCUCUUCUCCUCUGGACUGUCACCCACGUGCCUGCGCGUGACGGCGCGUGGCUCACUUUCCGGCCACUUCCGACACCUCUCCAGGCUCGUCCGGCGCCGUCUUGGCCUUCUAGCCCUCCGGCAGUCCUCCCCGAGCCCUGCAUCUCCAUUUUUUCCCUGUUUUUGGCUUUCUUGCCAUUCCGGCCACCUCCGACAGGGCUCCCCCUCCAUCUCCGAGGCUUGGGUGCUGCUUCUCUUCCUCUCCAGGCACGACACGACCUUUUUUCUCCAUUGAUUGCACCUCUCACAGCCGUGGUUUCACUGUUUUUCUCUCUCCGCCGAAAUCUGAACCCAUUUUAAGGCUCUCUUCGAUCCAAAUACGUGAAUAUGACCACCAAAAAUCAGAUCUUUACCUCUAUUCUCUCUGGAUCUCCUCUUAUUACCUCAGAGAAAUUGGUUGGCAGUGAGAAUUAUCUCUCCUGGUCUGCCUCUGUUGAACUUUGGUUUAUGGGUCAAGGAUAUGAGGAUCACUUGGUUACCCAGGAGGCAGAUAUCCCUGAGGUUGACCGCGUACAGUGGAGGAAGAUAAAUGCACAGUUAUGUAGUGUAUUAUGGCAAUCGGUUGAUCCCCGGAUUCUUCUUCAUCUUCAGUCCUAUAAAACUUGUUUUAAAUUUUGGACUCAGGCCAAAGGAUUAUACACGAAUGAUAUCCAGCGUCUUUAUAAGGUGGCUUCUGCUAUUGUCCAUCUCAGCCAACAGGACUUGGAUCUAUCUACUUAUAUUGGUCAGAUUGCCUCUCUUAAGGAGCAGUUCUUGACUGUGAUGCCUCUUACUCCUGAUGUUGGGGCUCAACAAACACAGCUUGACAAGUUCUUCAUGGUCCUUACUCUUAUUGGCCUCCGUCCGGAUCUUGAGCCUAUUCGUGAUCAGAUUCUUGGUAGUUCAUCAGUUCCGUCCUUGGAUGAUGUGUUUGCUCGCCUCCUCCGUAUCUCGUCCACUCAGACUGUGCCAUCUGAUAGCGCUUCAGAUUCUUCUGUGUUAGUUUCUCAAACUACCUCUCGAGGAGGACGCAGUGGUACCCAAGGUAGAGGCCAACGUCCUCAUUGCACCUAUUGCAAUAAACUUGGCCACACUCGCGAUCGUUGCUAUCAGUUACAUGGAAGACCUCCUCGCACUGCCCAUAUGGCCCAGUCCUCUGAUUCUCCGCUGCCUCAGCCUCCGAGCUCCUCCGCAUCUCAGACAUCUCAGGCUUCUAUUGCCUCUGUUGCCCAGCCUGGUAAUGCCUCUGCCUGCCUUACCCACACAUCUUCUCUUGGACCCUGGAUUCUAGAUUCUGGAGCAUCUGAUCACCUAUCUGGUAAUAAGGAUCUUUUCUCCUCUAUUACUACUACCUCUGAUUUACCUACUGUUACCUUAGCCAAUGGUUCUCAAACUGUGGCUAAAGGUAUUGGUUUGGCCCUUCCUCUGCCUUCUCUACCUCUCACUUCUGUCCUUUAUACUCCUAAAUGUCCUUUUAAUCUUAUUUCUAUCAGCAAAAUCACUCGUACUCUUAAUUGCUCUAUUACCUUUUCUGAUAAAUUUGUGACCUUGCAGGACCGGAGUACGGGGAAGACGAUUGGCAUAGGACGUGAGUCUCAAGGCCUCUAUCACCUCACCUCAGAUUCAUCUCCUGCAGUUUGCAUUUCCACUGAUGCUCCUCUCUUCAUUCACAAUCGUCUGGGCCACCCUAGUCUCUCCAAGUUCUAGAAGAUGGUUCCUCGUUUUUCCACUUUGUCGUCGCUUCCGUGUGAGUCAUGUCAGCUUGGGAAACAUACUCGUGUCUCGUUCCCAAAGCGUUUGAAUAAUCGGGCAAAGUCUCCUUUUGAGCUUGUCCACAUUGAUGUUUGGGGUCCUUGUCGGACUGCGUCUACUUUAGGAUUUCAAUAUUUUGUCACUUUCAUUGAUGACUAUUCUCGAUGUACUUGGUUAUUUUUAAUGAAAAAUCGAGCUGAGUUAUUCUCUAUUUUCCAGAAAUUUUAUACUGAAAUCCAAACCCAGUUCAAUAUUUCUAUUCGUGUGUUACGCAGUGACAAUGCCAGGGAAUAUUUUUCAGCCCAAUUUACUUCGUUUAUGUCUCAUCAUGGGAUUCUUCAUCAGUCUUCUUGUGCUCAUACUCCUCAACAAAAUGGGGUAGCUGAACGCAAGAAUCGACAUCUUGUUGAGACAGCUCGUACUCUCCUCCUCCAUAGUCACGUUCCUUUUCGCUUUUGGGGGGACGCUGUUCUUACCGCUUGUUAUUUGAUUAAUCGUAUGCCCUCCUCUGUCUUACACAAUCAGAUUCCUCACUCCCUUCUUUUCCCUGACCAACCACUUUAUUUCCUUCCUCCUCGUGUCUUUGGUUGUACUUGCUUUGUUCAUAUUCUCACUCCUGGACAGGACAAGCUUUCCGCCAAAGCCAUGAAGUGCCUCUUCUUGGGAUAUUCUAGACUUCAGAAGGGUUAUCGUUGUUAUUCCCUUGAGACUCAUCGGUACUUUAUCUCCGCUGAUGUCACCUUCUUUGAGGACUCACCAUUCUUUUCCACCACUUCUGAGUCUCUUCCUGUUUCUGAAGUCUUGCUCAUUCCCAUUGUCUCCCCACCUGAUGCUAUACCCCCUCGACCACUUCAGGUUUAUCAUCGUCGCCCUCGUGUCGUUGCUCCUCUCCCUUUUCCUGAGGCGCCUGCUGACUCACUUCCUAUCCCUUCGGCUUCACCUGCCCCGACUCUGCCUUCUCCUAAUGACUUACCCAUUGCUAUUCGGAAAGGUACUCGCUCUACUCGUAAUCCUCAUCCUAUUUACAAUUUUUUGAGUUAUCAUCGAUUAUCUUCACCCUAUUCUGCUUUUGUUUCUGCUAUAUCCUCUGUUUCUCUUCCAAAGAGCACCCAUAAAGCUCUUUCCCAUCCAGGCUGGCGACAGGCAAUGGUAGAUGAAAUGGUUGCUCUGCACUCUAAUGGCACUUGGGAUCUUGUUGUUUUACCCUCUGGUAAAUCUACAGUUGGUUGUCGUUGGGUCUAUGCAGUUAAGGUUGGUCCUGAUGGUCAAGUUGAUCGCCUUAAGGCCCGCUUAGUUGCUAAAGGCUAUACUCAAGUUUAUGGUUCUAAUUAUGGUGACACAUUCUCCCCUGUUGCCAAGAUUGCUUCUGUCCGCUUGCUUCUCUCCAUGGCUGCUAUGUGUUCUUGGCCUCUUUAUCAGUUGGAUAUUAAAAAUGUCUUCCUUCAUGGUGAUCUUGCCGAGGAAGUUUAUAUGGAGCAACCUCCUGGUUUUGUUGCUCAGGGGGAGUCUGGUUUAGUGUGCAGGUUACGCCGUUCUCUAUAUGGCUUGAAACAAUCUCCUCGAGCAUGGUUUAGCCGUUUUAGUUCUGUUGUUCAAGAGUUUGGCAUGCUUCGCAGUACAGCAGACCAUUUAGUUUUUUAUCAUCAUAACUCCUUGGGGCAGUGUAUUUAUCUGGUUGUUUAUGUGGACGACAUCGUCAUUACAGGCAGUGAUCAGGAUGGUAUUCAGAAACUAAAGCAACAUCUUUUUACCCACUUUCAGACCAAAGACUUGGGGAAACUCAAGUAUUUCUUAGGAAUUGAGAUAGCUCAAUCCAGUUCUGGUGUGGUCCUUUCCCAAAGGAGGUAUGCUUUAGACAUCCUGGAAGAAACCGGUAUGUUAGACUGUAAACCGGUAGACACACCUAUGGAUCCGAAUGUCAAACUUGUACCAGGAUAGGGGGAGCCUUUAGGAGACCCCGGGAGAUAUCGACGGCUCGUAGGUAAAUUGAACUAUCUCACCAUUACUCGUCUAGACAUUUCUUUUCCUGUGAGUGUUGUCAGUCAAUUCCUACAGUCACCAUGUGAUAGCCAUUGGGAUGCCGUAAUCCGUAUUCUUCGAUAUAUCAAAAGUACACCAGGCCAAGGUGUAUUGUACGAGAACAGAGGUCAUACUCAAGUUGUUGGUUACACAGAUGCAGAUUGGGUUGGCUCACCCACAGAUAGACGUUCCACUUCAGGGUACUGUGUUUUUAUUGGAGGUAAUCUAAUAUCUUGGAAGAGUAAGAAACAAGAUGUAGUGGCCAGAUCUAGCACUGAAGCCGAGUAUCGAGCUAUGGCCUUGGCAACAUGUGAACUCAUAUGGUUGAGACAUCUUCUUCAGGAGUUGAGAUUUGGAAAGGAUGAACAGAUGAAACUCAUCUGUGAUAACCAGGCCGCAUUACAUAUUGCAUCCAAUCCAGUCUUUCAUGAAAGGACCAAGCAUAUUGAAGUUGACUGUCAUUUCAUUAGAGAGAAGAUCGCAUCAGGAUGUAUUGCUACAAGUUUUGUCAAUUCAAAUGAUCAACUAGCAGACAUCUUCACUAAAUCUCUCAGAGGUCCUAGGAUUAAAUAUAUUUGUAACAAGCUUGGUGCAUAUGACGUAUAUGCUCCAGCUUGAGGGGGAGUGUUGAAUAUAAUGUAUGUAUAGUAUACUAUCUUUCCUUGUUAAUAUAGGUCACAUGUAUGGUAGUUAGGACUCCUAGCCUUGUAUAUAUAUAUCUCUAAAUUGUAAGUAGACAUUACAUGAAUGUGAAUAAGGUUUUUCUCCUCUCUCUCUCUCUCUCUCUC